rnacentral:rRNA from 1 species
AUGGAGAGCGCCUCCAAUGAGGAGACGCUGCCCCCGGCGCUGCCUCUGGCGACGCUGAUCGGCCGCGAGCUCCGCGGCGGCGGCUCCGAGCGCCCGCUCGUGCGGUACGGCCACUCCGGCUUCGCCAAGCGCGGCGAGGACUACUUCCUGGUCAAGCCCGACUGCCUCCGCGUCCCCGGCGACCCUUCCUCGGCCUUUUCCGUCUUCGCCGUGUUCGACGGCCACAAUGGCGUGUCGGCGGCGGUGUUCAGCAAGGAGCACUUGCUCGACGACGUGAUGAGCGCCGUGCCGCAGGGUAUCAGCCGCGAGGACUGGCUGCAGGUGCUGCCGCGCGCGCUUGUGGCAGGCUUCGUCAAGACAGAUAUUGACUUCCAGCGCAAGGGGGAAAUGUCAGGGACGACGGCGACGUUGGUCGUCAUCGAUGGGUUCACCGUGACUGUGGCGUCAGUCGGAGACUCCAGGUGCAUCCUUGACACUCAAGGUGGUGUGGUCUCUCUGCUAACCGUUGACCACAGGCUAGAGGAGAAUGUAGAGGAGCGGGAGCGUGUCACGGCGAGUGGAGGGGAGGUCAGCCGGCUGAACCUUUGCGGUGGGCAGCAGGUUGGCCCUCUCCGAUGCUGGCCAGGUGGACUGUGCCUUUCAAGAUCAAUUGGGGAUACCGAUGUUGGGGAGUUCAUCGUGCCAAUUCCACAUGUCAAGCAAGUGAAGCUCUCUAGUGCUGGAGGAAGGCUAAUAAUUGCAUCAGAUGGAAUAUGGGAUGCAGUGUCCUCAGAGAUUGCAGCGCAGGCGUGCAGAGGCUUGCCUGCAGAAUUGGCCGCAAAGCUUGUUGUUAAGCAAGCUCUAAAGACAACUGGAUUGAAAGAUGAUACAACUUGUGUAGUUGUUGAUAUCAUCCCAUCUGAUCAUUGUUCAACACCGCCACCAUCGUCUCCAAAGCAAAAUCAGAACAAGUUGAGGUUUCUUCUUUUUGGUAGGAGGUCCCAUAGCUCUGUUGGAAAGCUUGGUGACAAAAAGAAGUCUGCUUCAUUUGGAUUUGUGGAGGAAUUAUUUGAAGAAGGCUCUGCAUUGUUGGAAGAAAGGUUGGGUAGGAAUUCCCUGUCAAAAGCAAAUUUGCCCCCAUUUCGCUGUGCGAUCUGUCAAGUGGACCGAGUGCCAUUCGAAGAUUUAAUAACAGAUAAUGGGGGAGGUUACUGCUCUGCCCCGUCAACACCAUCGAGCUGUCCUUAUCUUUGUUCCGGUUGUAGAAAAAAGAAGGAUGCAAUGGAAGGUAAAAGAUCUAAUCGCUCGACUGCAUGCACUUGA